UGCCAUAGAAAAGUAUUUGUUAAAUAACUUCUAAAAUGUUUGUCUGAUGGCAUAAAAAUUGUCAGAAAUCAUAAGCAGAGAAGAUAUUAUUGUAUGUUUCUUUAGCUUUCAAAGCACGCUUGCUGUUUGGCUAUAUCGUCUUUGCCGUUAACGCUAAUCAUAAAUAUAUACACUAUACUUUAUGGAAGCAUAAAUUUAUACCCUUCUACCCAACGGGUAGUGGAUAUAAAAACGAAAGUCUCAUUCCUUAACUACUGAUAUUAUUCAACUUUACGUUCAAGGAAAACAAGAUACAAGCGAGCAAUUUAUGCACAUGUAAAGUAAAGUAAAAAAUAAAGUAAUUACGUACUUAAAAUACAAAA